rnacentral:rRNA from 1 species
UGAGGAACAUGACCUUCGGCGGGGGAUAGCCGGCCCAACGGCCGGGUAAUACCGCGUACGACCGCAUGGGGACAUCCCUGAGUGGUGAAAGCAGCAAUGCGCCGAUGGAGUGCCUCGCGGCCUAUCAGCUAGUUGGUGAGGUAACGGCUCACCAAGGCAACGACGGGUAGCUGGUCUGAGAGGAUGGCCAGCCACAGUUGGGACUGAGACACGGCCCAGACCUNUACCGGGGAG